rnacentral:rRNA from 1 species
AUGAACGCUAGCUACAGGCUUAACACAUGCAAGUCGAGGGGCAUCAGUUUGGUUUGCUUGCAAACCAAAGCUGGCGACCGGCGCACGGGUGAGUAACACGUAUCCAACCUGCCUCAUACUCGGGGAUAGCCUUUCGAAAGAAAGAUUAAUAUCCGAUAGCAUAUAUUUCCCGCAUGGGUUUUAUAUUAAAGAAAUUCGGUAUGAGAUGGGGAUGCGUUCCAUUAGUUUGUUGGGGGGGUAACGGCCCACCAAGACUACGAUGGAUAGGGGUUCUGAGAGGAAGGUCCCCCACAUUGGAACUGAGACACGGUCCAAACUCCUACGGGAGGCAGCAGUGAGGAAUAUUGGUCAAUGGACGCGAGUCUGAACCAGCCAAGUAGCGUGAAGGAUGACUGCCCUAUGGGUUGUAAACUUCUUUUAUAUGGGAAUAAAGUUGUCCACGUGUGGAUUUUUGUAUGUACCAUAUGAAUAAGGAUCGGCUAACUCCGUGCCAGCAGCCGCGGUAAUACGGAGGAUCCGAGCGUUAUCCGGAUUUAUUGGGUUUAAAGGGAGCGUAGGCGGAUUGUUAAGUCAGUUGUGAAAGUUUGCGGCUCAACCGUAAAAUUGCAGUUGAUACUGGCAGUCUUGAGUGCAGUAGAGGUGGGCGGAAUUCGUGGUGUAGCGGUGAAAUGCUUAGAUAUCACGAAGAACUCCGAUUGCGAAGGCAGCUCACUGGAGUGUAACUGACGCUGAUGCUCGAAAGUGUGGGUAUCAAACAGGAUUAGAUACCCUGGUAGUCCACGCCGUAAACGAUGAUUACUAGGUGUGGGGGGACUGACCCCUUCCGUGCCGCAGCAAACGCAAUAUGUAAUCCACCUGGGGAGUACGGCCGCAAGGUUGAAACUCAAAGGAAUUGACGGGGGCCCGCACAAGCAGUGGAGUAUGUGGUUUAAUUCGACGCAACGCGAAGAACCUUACCAAGUCUUGACAUCCCUUGACGAUGCUGGAAACAGUAUUUCUCUUCGGAGCAAGGAGACAGGUGGUGCAUGGUUGUCGUCAGCUCGUGCCGUGAGGUGUCGGCUUAAGUGCCAUAACGAGCGCAACCCUUAUCUUCAGUUACUAACAGGUCAUGCUGAGGACUCUGGAGAGACUGCCGUCGUAAGAUGUGAGGAAGGUGGGGAUGACGUCAAAUCAGCACGGCCCUUACGUCCGGGGCUACACACGUGUUACAAUGGGGGGUACAGAAGGCCGCUACCUGGUGACAGGAUGCCAAUCCCAAAAACCUCUCUCAGUUCGGAUCGAAGUCUGCAACCCGACUUCGUGAAGCUGGAUUCGCUAGUAAUCGCGCAUCAGCCAUGGCGCGGUGAAUACGUUCCCGGGCCUUGUACACACCGCCCGUCAAGCCAUGAAAGCCGGGGGUACCUGAAGUACGUAACCGCAAGGAGCGUCCUAGGGUAAAACUGGUAAUUGGGGCU